rfam:Gossypium raimondii Chr09_contig_1507, whole genome shotgun sequence.
AUCCCAUGAUGAGGACACUUACAAAGUAAAUCCUUAAAUCUUUCGCACGCCUCAUACAAGGAUUCAUCAUCCAAUUUUGAAUAAGAGGUUAUCUCAUUUCGUAAAUU